rnacentral:rRNA from 1 species
AUUGAACGCUGGCGGCAUGCUUUACACAUGCAAGUCGAACGGCAGCGCGGGCUUCGGCCUGGCGGCGAGUGGCGAACGGGUGAGUAAUGCAUCGGAACGUGCCCAGUAGUGGGGGAUAGCCCGGCGAAAGCCGGGUUAAUACCGCAUACGACCUGAGGGUGAAAGCGGGGGACCGAAAGGCCUCGCGCUAUUGGAGCGGCCGAUGUCGGAUUAGCUAGUUGGUGGGGUAAAGGCUUACCAAGGCGACGAUCCGUAGCUGGUCUGAGAGGACGACCAGCCACACUGGAACUGAGACACGGCCCAGACUCCUACGGGAGGCAGCAGUGGGGAAUGUUGGACAAUGGGGGAAACCCUGAUCCAGCCAUGCCGCGUGCGGGAAGAAGGCCUUCGGGUUGUAAAGCGCUUUUGUUCGGGAAGAAAUCCUCUGGGCUAAUACCCCGGGGGGAUGACGGUACCGGAAGAAUAAGCACCGGCUAACUACGUG